rnacentral:rRNA from 1 species
AGAGAGGACAUGCGCGCAUAUCAAUAAGCGGAGGAAAAGAAACUAACAAGGAUUCCCUUAGUAACGGCGAGUGAAGCGGGAAGAGCUCAAAUUUGAAAUCUUCAAGGUUUUACCUUGACGAAUUGUAGUUUAAAGAAGUGUUUUCUGCUGAAGUUUUGGUAAAAGUUCUUUGGAAUAGGACAUCAUAGAGGGUGAGAAUCCCGUAUUUGACCAUUAUUUUCAGCUUUGUGAUACACUUUCAAAGAGUCGGAUUGUUUGGGAAUGCAGUCCAAAAUGGGUGGUAAAUUUCAUCUAAAGCUAAAUAUUGGCGAGAGACCGAUAGCGAACAAGUACCGUGAGGGAAAGAUGAAAGAACUUUGAAAAGAGAGUUAAACAGUACGUGAAAUUGUCAAAAGGGAAGCGUUUGACACCAGUGUUGUUUUCUCGAAAAUCAAUUAAAAAUGGCUCGAUUUUGUAUUGCUUGAGACCUUAAAAGCUCACUGUACAUUUUUCGUGUCUUUUUUAAUGCACUUUUCGUUUAACAAGUCAACAUCAGUUUCUUUUGUUGUAAAAGGGUCAUUGGAAGGUGGCUUUCUUUUCGGAGAAAGUGUUUAUAGCCUUUGGCCUCUGCAAUCGAAGAGACUGAGGUCUGCAGCGUAGACUCUUCGGGGUUAGAUACAUUUGUGCUAAGUUAUAGCUUUUUAUAGACAACUUGUUGACUAUAAUUAGUCUUGUAGCUUACUCGCUUAUGCUAUUUUACCUACGCUUAGGAUGUUGAGUCGUAGAGCACGCAG